UCAGGGGAACCCUCCCGAUGACUUACAAACCUCCUGUCUUCCCUACCCCUUGAAGGUUCUGCUGCCACCUCAUAUUACUACCUUGGAGAGCAAGGAGACAUUCAGCAUCAACAAAAGUACAAGCAGACUCUCACAUCCCAGUUAGAAUGUCAGAAAAUGAUGUCAUCAGCAUUCUACCACAAAAGAAAACGGAACAAAGCAAGCAAGAAGCAAGCAAACAAACAAAAAUAAGAACAAAACAAACAAGAAAAUCGAUUCUCCUUCUUUCCCACUGGUGCCGUGACGAGACAGGCUCUUCCGGCACUCUGGGUCCAGGGCUCAGCGUCUGGAAACCUGUACCGUGGUCUAUUGUAUGACUGCCCACUCUGCUUUUUCAUUUGCCCAGCCGCCGGACCGGUCCGCACACCAUAUUCGCUAACCAGAUUGGUGAGUUUUCCCCUUUUUCAUCCCCUGCCAUUUCCUGCGACUGUAGCCUGAGAUAUACUUCUCACUGCCGGACCCCCAGGGGGUCCUCGGGCUGUGUAUGUUCCCAGCCCUUACCUGCCUCUUGACAAAGGGUGGGGCAACCUUGUGCUGAUUCAUAGAUCCUUCUCCAACCUCGGGGAUGCCUGGGAUUGGAGUCUGAUUCCAUUCCUUUAUGUUAAUUUUUAAUUUUUUUUUUUCUUCUCAGCGCUGCAGUCAUGGGACAUAAGGCUUCCUCCUCUUGGUCCCACUCCUGAGAAAUACCUUCAAUAUUCCAAUAAAUAUGGCCGCAUAACGGCUGCUUCAACCCCGAUACAUCAUGUUUGGAAUUAUCUAACUUCUGCCAACAAACGGGCAAAUGGAAAGAGUGACCUCAUCCCCAAGCUUUCUACCUAAGCUCUGAACCCUCCUCCCUCCCCAUUUCUGAUUCUUUCUCUGCCACGUGCAACCACUUCUGCCUACCUGACUUCUGCUCUGCUCUCCGGUAUUGGGCGGGCUCUCCAGUAUCAGGUGGGCUGCUUCUGCCCAACUCUGGCUCUCACCUUAACUCUUCCCACUCUCUUCCUCUUCCUCGUUCUCAAGCUGCCCU